UCGUAGAUUAUGCAAAAGAGUUUUAGUUAAAAUUACAAAAAGCAUUAUUCAUGAUUAAGAAGUGCAUUGCUGUAUUUAAUCCUUUCUUUUCCUCACAAGAAUAUUAGAAUCAUGAGCAGUAGAUCAUAUGAACCCUCAAGUCUUACAAUUUUUAAUUAGGUCUGAAUAAUUGUACAGUAACAGCAAUGAACUUUUGAUUAUAUAUUACAAUGUCACAAAAUUUUAUUAAGAAUUUAACCAAAAUUGUAUGAGUUUGAUAAAGAUCUUUCAAAAAAAGAAACUUCAUAUGCAGCCACGUUACAAAAGUUGAAACAUGAAGUUGUAUAAGCAUUGUUGUUUUUUACUUUGAAAUAAAAGACAAAAAUGUUUUCAACAAACACACCUUUCUCAUUCAAGUUGAGACAGUCUUUUUUAAUCGCUUCUUAAUCUGAACUUCUGUCCUAUGACUAGAAUCCCUUCAACAUCCUUGAAUGUCUUGCUCCCCUUCAAGAAAAUGCCAAACCUUGACUUGUGCACUCUUCAUCUGGUCCCAAGCAAAAUCAGCAAUUUAUUAUAUUGGAAUCAGCUCUUAAAUAUGGGGCCUCUUCAAUGAUGUCACCUAUUUCCUUCAAAAUUCUGGGAUGGAACCCACUUACCCCUGGAAAUGUCAUUCUUUUGCCAUUACAGUUUCCCUAGAACAUUCAGAAUUUACAAUGGAAUUUCAAGCUCUAUGAGUAAAGUGCUGAGAAGUUGUUAUGAAUUUCCAACAAUCUGUCUUUGACUGCAUCCUUCCAAGUAACGCAGAAAUGUGCACAAUCACAUCUGGAACUGGGAGACCAAUCUUCUAUAGUGAUAGUCAAACCACAGAAUCAACUCUGGUCCAAGGAAACGUGCUGAGAACACCAACUGUACUAGAAGUGAGGUGCCAAAUGAUGAAACUGCAACACAGGACUUUGUGUGUGUUAUGUAAUUGAAGUAGUAUACAGCAGACAGAGCUAAGCAAUAAUUCAGAUCAAAGAUCUGUGGUCAUGUUGCAUUUUGUCAUUAAUAAGUUGUCUAAUUUACCAGAUAAUGGAAGGUAGAGAAUUCAAGAAUAUUCCCAUGAUUAACAUUGGUGAGG